GAAGUAUUCUCCUAUUGGGGGCUGGCUAGGAGACAGGGGAGUCUGAACAUUCUGAGGGAGGCGCAGGAUUCUAGAGGCUCCGAGUCUUUCCUGGAAUCUUUUAUGUGAGGUACCCCCAGAGAGAGGAGCAGCCUUCUCACCCUGGCCUCUGCAGCCAGACUUACCUCUCACCAGGACACAUGGCCUCGGCUCCCAUUGCCCCAUCCUCCACCAGGCAUUCUCUCUUGGUGUAAGGAAAACCAGUUUACUCCACGCUGAACUGACCCUGAAGGUUCUUUGUUCUUGACCUCCACAUACCAUGUGGAAC
rnacentral:lncRNA from 1 species